UACGUAGGUGACAAGCGUUAUCCGGAAUUACUGGGCGUAAAGCGUGCGCAGGCGGUUUUGUAAGCCAGAUGUGAAAUCCCCGGGCUUAACCUGGGAAUGGCAUUUGGGACUGCAAGGCUCGAGUGCGGCAGAGGAGACUGGAAUUCCUGGUGUAGCAGUGAAAUGCGUAGAUAUCAGGAGGAACACCGAUGGCGAAGGCAGGUCUCUGGGCUGACACUGACGCUCAUGCACGAAAGCGUGGGGAGCAAACAGG
rnacentral:rRNA from 1 species